GCAGUUGUGGCGGAACAGGUAGACGCACAGGACUUAAAAUCCUGCGAGGGUUAAACCUCGUGCCGGUUCGAUUCCGGCCAACUGCACCA
rnacentral:tRNA from 1 species